GGCGCGCCACCGCAGGCCGGUGAGUUGCGGGCGUUCCUCCAGCGGUCGCUGCCCGCGCAGAUGAUCCCGGCGGCGUUCGUGGCGCUGGACGCGCUGCC
rnacentral:tRNA from 1 species